rnacentral:rRNA from 1 species
CCUUUGGAGGGUUUGAUCCUGGCUCAGAGUGAACGCUGGCGGCGUGGAUUAGGCAUGCAAGUCGAGCGAUUUUAAUUAAUGAAGUAAGUUGAUAUCUUCGGAUCGAUAUUUAUGGAUUUAAUUUUAAUAGCGGCAAACGGGUGAGGAACACGUGGGUAACUUGCCUUGAGGAGAGGGAUAGUCCGUUGAAAGACGGAGUAAUACCUCAUGUGCCCUUAGUAUCAUAAGGUAUUAAGGGGAAAGGUGGCCUAUGCCUUCGGGUAUGCUAUCACCUUAAGAGAGGCUCGCGGCUUAUCAGGUAGUUGGUAGGGUAAUGGCUUACCAAGCCUAAGACGAGUAGCUGUCCUGAGAGGGAUAUCAGCCACACCGGGACUGAGACACUGCCCGGACUCCUACGGGAGGCUGCAGUCGAGAAUCUUUUCCAAUGGGCGAAAGCCUGAGAAUGCGACGUCGCGUGGGGGAUGACUGUUUUCGGAUUGUAAACCCCUUUUAUCAGGGAGGAAAGCUAGAGAGUGAAUAAUUCUUUAGUUUGACUGUACCUGAGGAAUAAGCCACGGCUAACUCCGUGCCAGCAGCCGCGGUAAUACGGAGGUGGCAAGCGUUACUCGGAAUAACUGGGUGUAAAGGGUCCGCAGGCGGCCUGAUAAGUAAAAGGUGAAAUCCCUCGGCUUAACCGAGGAACUGCCUUUUAAACUAUUAGGCUUGAGGUUGGAAGAGGAGAGUGGAACUGCCGGUGGAAAGGUGAAAUUUGUGGAUAUCGGCAGGAACGCCAGUGGGGAAGCCGGCUCUCUGGUCCAAAUCUGACGCUCAUGGACGAAAGCUAGGGGAGCAAACAGGAUUAGAUACCCUGGUAGUCCUAGCUGUAAACGAUGGGCACUAGGUGUUUGUCCUUUAUUGGAUGGGUGCCGCAGUUAACACAUUAAGUGCCCCACCUGGGGACUACGGCCGCAAGGCUAAAACUCAAAGGAAUUGACGGGGGCCCGCACAAGCGGUGGAACACGUGGUUUAAUUCGAUGCUACGCGAGGAACCUUACCAGGGUUUGACAUGCUGGAAGUAACUACCUGAAAGGGUGGGUGACCUGUAACCAGUCAGGUA